rnacentral:rRNA from 1 species
UACGUAGGGGGCAAGCGUUGUCCGGAUUUAUUGGGCGUAAAGAGCGUGUAGGCGGCCACACAGGUCUGCUGUGAAAACUCGAGGCUCAACCUCGAGCUGUCGGUGGAAACCGUGUGGCUAGAGUCCGGAAGAGGAGAGUGGAAUUCCCGGUGUAGCGGUGAAAUGCGCAGAUAUCGGGAAGAACACCCGUGGCGAAGGCGGGUCUCUGGGCCGAUACUGACGCUGAGGAGCGAAAGCGUGGGGAGGCGAACAGG